rnacentral:rRNA from 1 species
GUUUGAUCCUGGCUCAGGACGAACGCUGGCGGCGUGCCUAAUACAUGCAAGUCGAGCGGACAGAUGGGAGCUUGCUCCCUGAUGUUAGCGGCGGACGGGUAUGUAACGUGGGUAACCUGCCUGUAAGACUGGGAUAACUCCGGGAAACCGGGGCUAAUACCGGAUGGUUGUUUGAACCGCAUGGUUCAAACAUAAAGGUGGCUUCGGCUACCACUUACAGAUGGACCCGCGGCGCAUUAGCUGGUUGGUGAGGUAACGGCUCACCACGACGAUGCGUAGCCGACCUGAGGGUGAUCGGCCACACUGGGACUGAGACACGGCCCAGACUCCUACGGGAGGCAGCAGGGGAAUCUUCCUGCAAUGGACGAAAGUCUGACGGAGCAACGCCGCGUGAGUGAUGAAGGUUUUCGGAUCGUAAAGGCUGUUGUUAAGGGAAGAACAAGUGCCGUUCGAAUAGGGCGGUACCUUGACGGUACCUAACCAGAAAGCCACGGCUAACUACGUGCCAGCAGCCGCGGUAAUACGUAGGUGGCAAGCGUUGUCCGAAUUAUUGGGCGUAAAGGGCUCGCAGGCGGUUUCUAAGUCUGAUGUGAAAGCCCCGGCUCAACCGGGGGGGUCAUUGAAACUGGGGAACUUGAAUGCAGAAGAGGAGAGUGGAAUUCACGUGUAGCGGUGAAAUGCGUAGAGAUGUGGAGGAACACCAGUGGCGAAGGCGACUCUCUGGUCUGUAACUGACGCUGAGGAGCGAAAGCGUGGAGCGAACAGGAUUAGAUACCCUGGUAGUCCACGCCGUAAACGAUGAGUGCUAAGUGUUAGGGGUUUCCGCCCCCUUAGUGCUGCAGCUAACGCAUUAAGCACUCCGCCUGGGGAGUACGGUCGCAAGACUGAAACUCAAAAGGAAUUGACGGGGCCCGCACAAGCGGUGGAGCAUGUGGUUUAAUUCGAAGCAACGCGAAGAACCUUACCAGGUCUUGACAUCCUCUGACAAUCCUAGAGAUAGGACGUUCCCCUUCGGGGCAGAGUGACAGGUGGUGCAUGGUUGUCGUCAGCUCGUGUCGUGAGAUGUUGGGUUAAGUCCCGCAACGAGCGCAACCCUUGAUCUUAGUUGCCAGCAUUCAGUUGGGCACUCAGGUGACUGCCGGUGACAAACCGGAGGAAGGUGGGAUGACAUCGUCAUGCCCCUUAUGACCUGGGCUACACGUGCUACAAUGGACAGAACAAAGGGCAGCGAAACCGCGAGGUUAAGCCAAUCCCACAAAUCUGUUCUCAGUUCGGAUCGCAGUCUGCAACUCGACUGCGUGAAGCUGGAAUCGCUAGUAAUCGCGGAUCAGCAUGCCGCGGUGAAUACGUUCCCUGGCCUGUACACACCGCCCGUCACACCACGAGAGUUUGUAACACCCGAAGUCGGUGAGGUAACCUUUAAGAGCCAGCCGCCGAAGGUGGGACAGAUGAUUGGGGUGAAGUCGUAACAAGGUAGCCGUAUCGGAAGGUGCGGCUG